rnacentral:lncRNA from 1 species
ACAGGAACAGGCUGGGCAAGACCAUGACUCAGGCCUGUCCUAGACACAGUCAUUCUGGAUGAGAGUCACUGGGAAGAGGGGCAGGACUCAGGGGAUAAGGACUCACUGUCCCUCCUCCCCAGACACCAGGCAGUGUGGCUCAGCUGUGGUCAGCACUGCGGGUUGGCCUGGUCCACAGCUCUGCAUCCAUCCCUGUCGGAUGCCCUGGCCCUGCAGCCUCCCUGGUCACUUGUAACCUCUGCCUGCCAAGUCUGUGGACACCGCAGAGCCUUUGCUGGCCAGGCCCUCAGCAGCCCUGGCUCCGUGCACCGGGACACCCCACUCAGCGCCAAGCUCCCAUGAGAGUCCUGCUCACACAGGGAGAGGCAGGCUGGGGACACAGACCGGACCGGCUGGCUGCACCUCUGGCUCCAGGUCCCCAGAGGCAGUACUGGGAAUGACUGACAGCCUCAGGCAGAGGAUGGCGCCUAGCCUUGGCACUCCAGGCCCAGAAUGAAACAGCGAGGGAAGAGGGGCCACGCCCUGGGGAACACCAGACGUGGAGUCCAAGAAUGCUGUUCAGGGUCCCCUUGAGGAAGGGUCCUUGGGAGCUCAGCACCACCAAGGCCCAGCGGAGAAGAUAGGUGGCCUCCGGCCUGGUCAGUGGCGAGCAGAGAAACCUGAGAACGUCCGCCUAAUCAGCCAGCCACAGUGGCGCACGCCCAUGACACCAGCACGCAAGAGGCUGAGGCGGGAGAAUCACCACGAGUUGGAGGCCAGCCUGGGCUACAUAGCAAGACCGCGUCAACAACAAAAAGAAGAAGAUGGACCUCAGGGUCCCCGCACUCCCCUGUCCACCGCAGCUGAGACCUGAGGGCAGCCA